AACCUGGUUGAUCCUGCCAGUAGUCAUAUGCUUGUCUCAAAGACUAAGCCAUGCAUGUCUAAGUAUAAGUGUUAUACAGCGAAACUGCGAAUGGCUCAUUAAAACAGUUAUAGUUUAUUUGAUAAUCGAAUUUACAUGGAUAACCGUGGUAAUUCUAGAGCUAAUACAUGCUGGUAGGCCCGACUUUUGCGGAAGGGCGGUAUUUAUUAGAUAACAAGCCAAUAUUCCUCUGGUCUAUUGUGGUGACUCAUAAUAACUGAUCGAAUCGCAAGGCCUUUGGCCGCGAUAAGUCAUUCAAGUUUCUGCCCCAUCAGCUUUCGAUGGUAGUGUAUUGGACUACCAUGACGUUUACGGGUAACGGAGGAUUAGGGUUCGAUUCCGGAGAGGGAGCCUGAGAAACGGCUACCACAUCUAAGGAAGGCAGCAGGCGCGUAAAUUACCCAAUCCUGACUCAGGGAGGUAGUGACAAGAAAUA
rnacentral:rRNA from 1 species